rnacentral:rRNA from 1 species
UGCCAGCAGCCGCGGUAAUACGGAGGGGGUUAGCGUUGUUCGGAAUUACUGGGCGUAAAGCGCACGUAGGCGGACUGGAAAGUUGGGGGUGAAAUCCCAGGGCUCAACCGUGGAACUGCCUCUUAAACUCCUGGUCUUGAGUUCGAGAGAGGUGAGUGGAACUCCGAGUGUAGAGGUGAAAUUCGUAGAUAUUCGGAAGAACACCAGUGGCGAAGGCGACUGUCUGGCACAUUUCUGACGCUGAGGUGCGAAAGCGUGGGGAGCAAACAGGAUUAGAUA